GUAGCUUUGGAUGGUUCGCAACUCGCUUGUCUGAGACUACUUACUUCGCUUUAAGACUUGGGCUUAGCUAUGGUUGAUGGGCUCCAAGAAAUGGUGUUCAGAAAACUCAUAAAAGACAAAAACAACUACUUAAGUGGUAACAACAACGGGGAUAGUUACAUUGGGUGUAUCGUUAUAAUUAGCAAUUGUGUAUAUCCUUCAUGAUAAUAGUAUGUUGUUAUAUAAGCAUAAAUAACGGGGAAAAUAUUUUUUUUGAUGGUCUUAA
rnacentral:lncRNA from 1 species